AGUGAACGCUGGCGGUAGGCCUAACACAUGCAAGUCGAACGGCAGCACAGUAAGAGCUUGCUCUUACGGGUGGCGAGUGGCGGACGGGUGAGGAAUACAUCGGAAUCUACUUUUUCGUGGGGGAUAACGUAGGGAAACUUACGCUAAUACCGCAUACGACCUGCGGGUGAAAGCAGGGGAUCUUCGGACCUUGCGCGAUUGAAUGAGCCGAUGUCGGAUUAGCUAGUUGGCGGGGUAAAGGCCCACCAAGGCGACGAUCCGUAGCUGGUCUGAGAGGAUGAUCAGCCACACUGGAACUGAGACACGGUCCAGACUCCUACGGGAGGCAGCAGUGGGGAAUAUUGGACAAUGGGCGCAAGCCUGAUCCAGCCAUACCGCGUGGGUGAAGAAGGCCUUCGGGUUGUAAAGCCCUUUUGUUGGGAAAGAAAAGCAGCAGGUUAAUACCCCGCUGUUCUGACGGUACCCAAAGAAUAAGCACCGACUAACUUCGUG
rnacentral:rRNA from 1 species